AUAGUUUGAUCAUGGCUCAGAUUGAACGCUGGCGGCAUGCCUAACACAUGCAAGUCGAACGGAAACGAUGGGAGCUUGCUCCCAGGCGUCGAGUGGCGGACGGGUGAGUAAUACUUAGGAAUCUGCCCAUUAGUGGGGGACAACUAGAAGAAAUUCUAGCUAAUACCGCAUACGCCCUACGGGGGAAAGCGGGGGAUCUUCGGACCUCGCGCUAAUGGAUGAGCCUAAGUCGGAUUAGCUUGUUGGUGAGGUAAUGGCUCACCAAGGCGACGAUCCGUAGCUGGUCUGAGAGGACGAUCAGCCACACUGGGACUGAGACACGGCCCAGACUCCUACGGGAGGCAGCAGUGGGGAAUAUUGGACAAUGGGCGCAAGCCUGAUCCAGCAAUGCCGCGUGUGUGAAGAAGGCCUGCGGGUUGUAAAGCACUUUCAGUAGAGAAGAAAAGCCUAGGGUUAAUAACCCUGAGUCUUGACGUAACCUACAGAAGAAGCACCGGCUAACUCCGUGCCAGCAGCCGCGGUAAUACGGAGGGUGCGAGCGUUAAUCGGAAUUACUGGGCGUAAAGCGCGCGUAGGCGGCUUUGUAAGUCGGAUGUGAAAGCCCCGGGCUUAACCUGGGAAUUGCAUUCGAUACUGCAUGGCUAGAGUAUGGUAGAGGGAAGUGGAAUUCCGGGUGUAGCGGUGAAAUGCGUAGAUAUCCGGAGGAACACCAGUGGCGAAGGCGACUUCCUGGGCCAAUACUGAC
rnacentral:rRNA from 1 species